AGAGAAGCGGACCUGCCCACAGCAGCAGAACCGUGGUGAUGAUGAGCAGCUCUCCAGUCUGCAGCACUCCAGCCGGAUAAUGGUCGCUCCUUUCCAGCGUCCUGAAGUGGAUGGCCCGGCUGGGUUGACUGUCGCCCUGGAGUCCAACAGACUGCACCUGAACCCAACACAGAUAAGACUGAAGGAAGUUUAACUGCAGCAUGGGUGCCUCCUCGCUGGGAGGUGUGUUCGGUUUGCCUGCGGGGAUGUCAUCUUGGACUUCUGCAGGACAGGGGGGCUCUGCACAAUGUGGAGAGUCCAUUCCGGUCUAGCCGUGUCAUGAUGGUCUCUACGGCUGCAUCGUCUGUGGUUGCGGGCUGUGGCACCUUUCGGUGUGGAUAGCUUUCCUCAACUGGUUCCUCAAUGCCAUUCCAUGUCUCUAUAUUAUUAAACAAUAUAUGUUGUGUGUGUGCUAGUAUCUUUUUUGCAGGUGUGUUCGUCUGGGUGUGUUUUGCAUUUACAUGCAGGGAUGGAAGGGGUGAGUUCUUAUAUAUUUGUGGGUAUUUUAAUCGUCAGCUUUUA